CGCUGACCCGGAAGCGCUCAGCCCGGCCUGGCCCGGUCCGGCCCGGCCGGCUUGCGGUAGGCGGAAGAUGGCCGAGUCGCCGGAGGAGGUGGCGGUGCUGGUGCAGCGGGUGGUGAAGGACAUUCGCAACGCCUUCCAGCGGAACCCGCACAUAGACGAAAUUGGAUUAAUACCCUGCCCUGAAGCCAGAUAUAACCGAAGCCCUAUUGUCCUGGUGGAAAAUAAGCUUGGUGUGGAGAGCUGGUGUGUAAAGUUUCUUUUGCCAUAUGUCCACAAUAAACUUCUCCUCUACAGACAAAGAAAACAAUGGCUGAACAAAGAUGAGCUGAUAGAUAUCACAUGUACCCUGCUGCUGCUGAACCCCGACUUCACCACUGCUUGGAAUGUGAGGAAAGAAUUAAUACUGUCUGGCACUUUAAAUCCACUUAAAGAUCUGCAUCUUGGAAAACUGGCGUUAACCAAGUUUCCAAAGAGUCCAGAAACAUGGAUUCAUAGACGAUGGGUGCUGCAACAAUUAAUUCAGGAAAACUCCUUGCCCAGUCACGUGACUAAAGGAAACUUGGGAGCAGCACCUGUGGAGAGAAUUCACCGACUAGUGCAGGAGGAAAUGAAUGUCUGCUCUGAAGCUGCUGGGAGAUAUCCAAGCAACUACAAUGCCUGGUCCCAUCGCAUCUGGGUUUUACAGCAUUUGGGAAAGCUGACUGUCAAGGUUCUCCUCGAUGAACUUUCAUCCACUAAAUAUUGGGUAUCCAUGCAUGUCUCAGACCAUAGUGGAUUUCACUACCGCCAGUUCUUACUCAAGUCCUUGAUAGGCAGAACAGUGACUGACAACAAUGUACUGGUACAAAAUCAAUUGGGAAAUGAGCAAAACCCUAGCCUUCAAAAGGAGGAGGAGAGUGCAGGGGCAGAAGCUGCCUGUGCAGAGGAGCAGAGUGUGGAUCUCCCCCGCCAUUUAGAGGAAGAGUUGGAGCUCUGCACUGAACUGAUUGAUACUUACCCAGGGCAUGAAACCUUGUGGUGUCAUAGAAGGCGUGUGUUCUACCUUCAGCACCACCUGAGCAACAAAAUUCCUCUUCUGAGCGCAGUGGUAUCAUCUGUGGACAGCAGUGACGAAACUCUGAAUAAUUCCCACCACAGUUCUGCGACAAGUCACAUGGCACAAGCUAUGGAUGUUGAUGGUUUGAAUGAAUCCAGCAGCAAACAAGGUUAUACUCAAGAAACAAAACGCCUGAAGCGUGCCCCUAUGCAGGACUCUCUUGGUCCAGAAAUGGAAUACCAGUUCAUUGAUAAAGUAUUAUCAACUUGCAGGGAUGCAGACCAAGCCAGGUUUGCUACUGCUUAUAGGAAAUGCAUGAUGUUCAGUGACGUGCUUGCCUUUUUUAAAAUCUGGAAUCAACUGGAAUAGCUUAUGCCAGCCUUUCCAGGGUCCAUACAAUUUCUGUGCUGUCAUAAUUGAAGGGAAAACAUUUCACGGACCUUAAAAGCAGGGCUUCAGAUCUUCCACUGGUUUCCAGUUCUAAUAAAUCUAAGUGUUCCCCGGCUACUAAUAAGCAUACGAAGACCUCUAGAACUCCUUUGCUGGAUGCCAGAAGGCAGUGGUGGCAUUGUCUGUUUUCUCAGAGUUGGAAGUGGGAGAGCGUAGAGGGGUCGCACCUGCGGGGAGGAGCGGACAGGACAAGUGACCCAAAACUGACCGACAGAGUGUUCCAUCCCAUCUGCACCAUGCUCAAUAUAAAAGCUGAGGGAUCAAAGGGAUUGGCCUCUUUCUUCGAUGGCUGGCAUCCAAGGAGGACUCUGUCUGUUCAUCUGCCUUUGAUCCCGAUCCGGGCGUUCCUGAGUCCAGAUCAAGAAUCCGGUUCCCGUCUGCCGCUGAGGGGCAGUGCCUGCUGGGGACAUGACCGUCAUCCUGAGAGCUCAAUAUGGUUUUGUGU